rnacentral:rRNA from 1 species
CCUACGGGAGACAGCAGUGGGGAAUAUUGGACAAUGGGGUAAACCCUGAACCAGCGACGCCGCGUGAGUGAAGAAGUAUUUCGGUACGUAAAGCUCUUUCAGCAUGAAAGAAAAUGACGGUACCUGACUAAGAAGCGCCGGCUAACUACGUGCCAGCAGCCGCGGUAAUACGUAGGGGGCACGCGUUAUCCGGAUUUACUGGGUGUAAAGGGAGCGUAGACGGCAGUGCAAGUCUGGAGUGAAAUGCCGGGGCCCAACCCCGGAACUGCUCUGGAAACUGGGAAGCUUGAGUGCAGGAGAGGUAAGCGGAAUGCCUGGUGUAGCGGUGAAAUGCGUAGAUAUCAGGAGGAACACCGACGGCGAAGGCAGCUUACUGGACUGUAACUGACGUUGAGGCUCGAAGGCGUGGGGAGCAAACAGGAUUAGAUACCCGUGUAGUC